UACAGAGGGUGCGAGCGUUAAUCGGAAUUACUGGGCGUAAAGCGCGCGUAGGCGGCUUUGCAAGUCGGGCGUGAAAUCCCCAGGCUUAACCUGGGAACUGCAUUCGAGACUGCAUUGCUAGAGUAUGGGAGAGGGAAGUGGAAUUUCCGGUGUAGCGGUGAAAUGCGUAGAUAUCGGGAGGAACACCAGUGGCGAAGGCGACUACCUGGCCUGUUCUUGACGCUGAGGCGCGAAAGCUAGGGGAGCAAACGGG
rnacentral:rRNA from 1 species